rnacentral:pre_miRNA from 1 species
AUUGAAUUGCUGAAACUGCUCUUGGCACUGGUAGAAUUCACUGCUAAAAAAUACUCCAGUGAUUCACCGGUUCCAAACUCGGUUAGCACAAUACAUCAAAG